CUUCUUCCAAUUUCAUCCUUCCGUAAACCCAUUUCUUCAAACCCAAAAUCCGAUCUUGAAACCCUAAAAGCCCAUUAAUCACUACGAGAAUUUUUUUACGUUUCGAUGCCAGCCUUUGUUCUUUGUUUGCGACGUUUUAGUCAUCUGCAUCAUCAAGAACUCAAGGUAAAACCCUUUAUUUCUCUCUAAAUUUUGUUUUUUGAAGUUUAGGUUACUGGUUUAGAAAUAAUUCAGAAACAUAAUUGAAAUUGAAAAGGGAUUUAUAUGAUUUCUGUUGAUUGUUGGUUUGAUGGUUAUUCCUUGUUUAUUUUAAGGUUUGUCAAUUUUGUUAGAUAGGAUGUUUGUUGGGAUUGGUAGUGGUUGAGAAAACCUCGGAUAAGUUGUGAUAUUGUUAGAUAGGAUAGGAUGCAAGUAGGACUUGUUUAAUUUUUCCAUUGAAAAGAUAAUUAUUUUUUUGCAAGAAAAAAUAUGCAAGGAUUAGGAAAUUAGGACAUGUCUCCGGCUGUUGUUGAUGAUGUUUGGUACUUAGAGCCGCAAAAUCUGAAGCCACGAUAGACACCCCUUUAAGGACUAGUUUACAAAUAUGGAUCCCACACCAGGGACUGGAUUGAGAACUGAUAAAGAAUAGAGUUGAGACAUACAACUUUGUAACAUGUCCCUGACAUUCUCUCAUUUUUGUUUAAUUUCAAUAUACUAUGAGGUAAAGUAGUAGAAGUAGAACUCACUCUAAUUUCACAAUAUGACUCUUUGAGUCGAUUUAACAUUAACAGUUCUAGUGAUGCCUUUGUGUAUAGAGAAGUCUCCUUGAUAUAUUAUUGGCUUAAUUUUAGCAACUUUAUCUUUACAAGUUUUAUGAUUGUCAUUUUAUUUAGCUGUGAAAGGUCAUUCAAAGUUUGUACGACCUGGAGAUCUUGACUUUUGCAAUGUGCAUUUUACAGUUCAGAAUAUUCAAAAGAGGAUGAAGAUGACAUUGAUGAUAUGCUGCAAAAGGUGCAUUUUUUCUCCUUUGAUUAUUAAAGAUACAAUAGUUGAUUUAAUUUGGUGCACACUGAUUUAAUAUGAUAUUUGUUGUUACUAUAAUCCUAUUUAGACACAUGUUACAAUGUUAUGUUGCUUUAUGGUCUUAGUUUUGUGCAUAACCAC
rnacentral:lncRNA from 1 species